rfam:Danio rerio chromosome 4, GRCz11 reference primary assembly.
GGCUCUGUGGUGCAAUGAAUAGCGCAUUGGAAUUCUAGGCUGUGAGCUGAGCCAUUCAAAGGUUGUGGGUUCGAGUCCCACCAGAGUCG